GACGAACGCUGGCGGCGUGCCUAAUACAUGCAAGUAGAACGCUGAAGAGAGGAGCUUACUCUUUUUGGGAGAGUUGCGCACGUGUGAGUAACGCGUAGGUAACCUGCCUUGUAGCGGGGGAUAACUAUUGGAAACGAGAGCUUAUACCGUAUAACAAUGGAUGACACAUGUCAUUUAUGUGAAAGGGGGCAUUGCUCGACUACAACAUGGACCUGCGUUGUAUUAGCUAGUAGGUGAGGUAAUGGCUCACCUAGGCGACGUUGCAUAGCCAACCUGAGCGGGUGAUCGGCCACCCUGGGACUGUGACACGGCCCAUUCUCCUUGGGGUAGCAGCAGUAGUGCAACUUCGGCAAGAGGUGCAACCCUGUCCGAGAUACGCCGCGGGAGGGUGGAAGAUUUUCGGAUCGGAAAGCUCUGUUGUAGGUCUAUAACGGGUGUGAGAGUGGAAAGAUCACACUGUGACGGUAACUUAUCAGGAAGGAACGGCUAACUACGUG
rnacentral:rRNA from 1 species